AUUACCCCGGGUACCUGAAAUAAGCGGCCUGUCUGAUGCGUGGUGAUACCUGGAUGAGCAGAGUUCGUCUCAAGACUAAAUUCAAAGAAGUUGUAUUGCUUUCAAAACGUCAUUAUCAUUAGCCUCGAAGCUGAAGAGACUGUUCUUUUCCAUCCUUGGAGAUCUUCAAAAGCCGUCUGGACAGGGUCCUGGGCAAUGUGCUUUAGGUGACCUGCUUGAGCAGGGGGGCUGGGCUAGAAGAUCCCCAGAGGUCCCUUCCGACCUCAGCAGUUCUGUGAUUCUGUGAUUCCUCCUACGCCUUGAGCUGAACAGCAAGGUAUUGAGAUCCUUCUGGCAUAGACAUAUCGAUGUGCUGCAUCCAAGAUAGCAGCUGGUUGGGUGUCUGGCCAAGGCAAACAGCGUGGGCGAAGCACAGCCAUAAUUACAACUUGUAAUAACGGGCAUGAAAGAAGACUCUGCAGAGUGAGUGGUAUUUGCUCUGUUGUUUCCAGUAGAAGAAAAAAAUGUAUCCAUAUUCCAAUCAGCUAGACUCAAGCAAGCUCUGAGUGGGGAAGCAUGUAGCUGUGUUAGCGUGAAGAUAAGCCCAAGGAAAUUUGAACAUCAGGUGCAUACAAGAUGUAAAAUUGCAAUGAAUAUGAAGAUCUGUGUGAGGACACAGUUAUUGAAUAUCUUACAGCUUACUGUUUGUGAAUUGAGACUUUUAUGCAUAUAUCC
rnacentral:lncRNA from 1 species